GUAUUUUAGUUUAAUGUUUGUAUGUUUGUUUGAUAACGCCUCGUACCUUAUCCCGGCCUCAGGUACAGGUAAGGGGUGUUACAUUUAGUGGUAUCAGAGCAAGUUUAGUCGAUUCUGGAACUAACAUAGCAAGUGUGAGAGUAUAGUUAUACAUGCCACAAAUAUGUGAUAGUGUGAUGUCUCCCGACACUAAUGAGGACCAUUUUGUUUAAAAUGAAGUAUUCUCCAACCGAGCUACAUCUGACCAUUUAAUAGUAAUAUUGAAG
rnacentral:lncRNA from 1 species